rnacentral:rRNA from 1 species
CCUACGGGAGGCAGCAGUGGGGAAUAUUGCACAAUGGGCGAAAGCCUGAUGCAGCAACGCCGCGGGAGCGAUGAAGGCCUUCGGGUCGUAAAGCUCUGUCCUCAAGGAAGAUAAUGACGGUACUUGAGGAGGAAGCCCCGGCUAACUACGUGCCAGCAGCCGCGGUAAUACGUAGGGGGCUAGCGUUAUCCGGAAUGACUGGGCGUAAGGGGUGCGUAGGUGGUUUCUUAAGUCAGAGGUGAAAGGCUACGGCUCAACCGUAGUAAGCCUUUGAAACUGCGGAACUUGAGUGCAGGAGAGGAGAGUGGAAGUCCUAGUGUAGCGGUGAAAUGCGUAGAUAUUAGGAGGAACACCAGUUGCGAAGGCGGCUCUCUGGACUGUAACUGACACUGAGGCACGAAAGCGUGGGGAGCAAACAGGAUUAGAUACCCGAGUAGUC